AUUUGUAAGUUAUUGUAAAUCGCGAUAGCUAAGCUGUUAAGGCUGCAGUGUGUUGGACAGAUUGUGGUGGUUGUUCGGUGUUUGUUUCUUCUGCUCAUCGUUACUGUUCCGUGUUUGUUUCUUCUCCCCGUGGUAACUGGACUGAUGAUAUCCUCUUUGCUGGGCCAUACCUACAUGGAAUGAGAUCCAUGGAAUGAGAUCCGCAGAGGCAUUUUGUUUGUUGGAUGUGAGGGGUUGUAUCAACAAGUGAAUUUGAUGACUAGGUAGUAACAACUAGAACAUAUUCUAGAACGAAUAUUGGUAUUGCUUGCCUCUAUUUCUCCUAAAUUGGAAAAUUAGAAGCCCAGUAAGUUAACAGGAUAAAGGACACUGCAUAAUAAGUUUUCCUAACUAAUAUCGGCGUUGUUUGCCUCUUAAACUGGAAAGCUAACGUACAGUAAGAGACUCAAAUUAUGAAGCCAAAGGGCACUGCGUACCGAUUUCUUCAAGUGUUUUUCUCGCAUUAAAGUUUUGUAAUAAAGCUCUGCAAUCUUUAUAUUCCUAGUUUUUACCAAAUGCAAUGUAUACUGUUAAUUUCUGAUAAAACUAAUGGACCUCCAAUGUCUGAGAUUUGUAGUUCACUGGUAUGUCUUCAAAUGAAAAGCAUUGUAUCGAAUUACUUUGUAGUUUGGGUCAUGAACUGUUGUCCAUGGUAACAGAACCAUGACUUCAUUGAUGUUCCUUCCUACUGUGGAGAGAGCGCGCCUCAGUGGCGUGAUUGGUAUGGUUUUGGCUUGCCACCUCGGUGGCCGCGAGUUCGGUUCUCUGGUAUUCCAGUGAGGUGUGAGAGAUUUUUAUUUGUGAUAAAAGUUCACUCUCUGUAGUUCGGAAGUCAACGUAAAGCUGUUGGUCCCGUUGCUGAAAAACUAUUGGUUCCAUGCAACGUAAAAACGCCAUACUAACUAGGGAGACACUGUUUUAUUAUAAAUUUGCUAGAAUUUGAACUUGCUGGAAAUUUGCUCAGCAGUUUUGAGUUUGUCUCGAAUAUAACUUAAAUUUACUAGCUGAAAAUUCGCACUCCACUCCAGUUUUGUAAUUCUCUAAUAUUCUCAAACUUUAUAACGAGGGCUUUGCUGGUGUUCCUUUUAACAAACUACUUCAAUGAUGCUCUUCCUACGGUGAAGACUUAUAAUUUAAUGAGUAAUAUUAAUGACUUGCUGAAAAUUUAUGGCUGAAUACUUAACUCUGCAGUUUCGGGUUAGUCACAAAUAUAAUUUUGUUACUAUUACUAUGAAGUCUCGAGUUUAGUUGUUAUUUCGGCAAUUUUCAAGUUUUCAUGUUUAAGAAAGUUUCUAUAAUGUUAAUUUAGUUUUUUAUUGAAUAAAAAAUUUCAUGUUUGCAUAUA